UAAGGCACAGCGAGGGAAGACGCAGAGGACGUAAAACGAAACCUUCGAAACCUCGCGUGUGUGUGAGAGUGUGUGUGUGUGUGGCUGCAAAAGAAAGAUGAUUAAUUAGUAAAACAGAAGCUGGUUGUAACAGGACGCCGCAGCUGAUCCGGGUCUCAGAGGACACCGGCGCAUGUGGAGGUUGUGGGUUUUUUUGUUUUUUUGUUGGAGAAGCUCAGUUUUAACAGGCCGCAGCGUCACGGGGCGGCUCGUGCGCACUGGAAACCCGGUAUUCAAUUGGUGGAAGCAGGAGGGGAGCCCCGGCCCUUUUCCACUGCAGGAGGAGGAGAGCACA